CCUACGGGUGGCAGCAGUGGGGAAUAUUGGGCAAUGGGCGCAAGCCUGACCCAGCAACGCCGCGUGAAGGAAGAAGGCUUUCGGGUUGUAAACUUCUUUUGUCAGGGACGAAGCAAGUGACGGUACCUGACGAAUAAGCCACGGCUAACUACGUGCCAGCAGCCGCGGUAAUACGUAGGUGGCAAGCGUUAUCCGGAUGUAUUGGGUGUAAGGGGCGUGUAGGCGGGAAGGCAAGUCAGAGGUGAAAACGAUGGGCUCAACCCAUAGCCUGCAUUUGAAACUGUAUGUCUUGAGUGCUGGAGAGGCAAGCGGAAUGCGGGGGGUAGCGGGGAAAUGCGUAGAUAUACGGAGGAACACCAGUGGCGAAGGCGGCCUGCUGGACAAUAACUGACGCUGAGGCGCGAAAGCGUGGGGAGCAAACAGGAUUAGAUACCCUUGUAGUC
rnacentral:rRNA from 1 species